AAAGGGAAGGUGGAGAGAGAGAAGAAGGAGAAAAUGGAAGAGGGAGAGGAUGCAGAGGAGGAGGAAGAAGAAGAAAAGCGGAGCAGAAGCACAAGGUGCGUGUGCACACGUGGGAAGCACAUUCCCCAAGCUGUCUCCUCGGCCAGCCUGGACUCCCCAGGAUGUCUGCUCCAAGUACGAAUGUGUAGAAUCACUGCUGUCGUCAUCUUGGGCUUGCUGCCCUGGUUCCCUACCACCUUCAAACAUCUCUCAAAGGAGGGAUCCCCAGGGAAAAGUGUGAGCAAGUGGAACCGAAAGCUGCCAAGGGACAGCUUUGAUCUGCAGUGAGGCAGGCUGCCCUUCAGUCUCAUCUCCAGUACACAGUCCUUCUCCGUGGACUUUGCCCUUUUGCAAAAUGGCCACAGUAUGCAUGCACGCGGAAGAUGGCACUCGCUGUCUCAAUGCUCUGAGUCCUGCCCUCC
ensembl:antisense Gm20548 predicted gene 20548